rnacentral:lncRNA from 1 species
AUGUACCCAUGGGUUUAUUGGCUUACAUGUUAUCAAAUUUUCUUUAAUCAAGCUAAUCGUUCCUUGCUUGAAUCACCAAAACCAAGCUUUUUUUCUUCCUUUCUCUCUUUUUCUUUCUUCUCCUCUUAGGGUUUAGAUGUACUGGAAAUUAGGGUUAAAGGCUAUAAAUUUAGUGCUCAAGAAGUUUGGAGAAGAAAGGGAAAGAAAACAUGGAAAGGAAAAUGAAGAAAACUUGGUUUCAUGGUGGACAAAGAGAAAAUGGCAUGGAAGCUUCAAGAAUGGUGUGGAGCAUGGAGGAGAAGAGGAAAAAAUCUUGCUGGAG